AGACCGAUAGCGAACAAGUACAGUGAUGGAAAGAUGAAAAGAACUUUGAAAAGAGAGUGAAAAAGUACGUGAAAUUGUUGAAAGGGAAGGGCUUGAGAUCAGACUUGGUAUUUUGCAUGCUGCUCUCUCGGGGGCGGCCGCUGCGGUUUACCGGGCCAGCAUCGGUUUGGAGCGGCAGGAUAAUGGCGGAGGAAUGUGGCACGGCUUCUGCUGUGUGUUAUAGCCUCUGACGAUGCUGCCAGCCUAGACCGAGGACUGCGGUUUUUAACCUAGGAUGUUGGCAUAAUGAUCUUAAGUCGCCCGUCUUGAAACACGGACCAAG
rnacentral:rRNA from 1 species